GCACCAGUAGCUCAGUUUCAGAGCACCGGUCUUGUAAACCGAAGGUCGGAGGUUAAAAUCCUCCCUUUUGCU
rnacentral:tRNA from 1 species